ACCCCAGCUUAGCAGCAGUAACGCCAUUUUACAAGGCUGUACUUAAGAUGACUGGUUCAGAGAAAGGUUAAAACACUGAGUACAAAACAGCUGCCAAGCAGGAUGUGUUUGGUUGAAGGCCUGGCAACAGGACGACUGCAGUUGAGCACCUGACAAUGAGAAAAGCCCCGGGAGAGGUCCCACACCCUGGUGGGGGGCCGAGUCAGCCUUAUGUUCCAGAAAGGUAGCUAGGAAACUUGCCCCCAGGCUGAACCCUUGGGGGGGCCGAGUCAGUCGUUAUGUUUCAGGAAGGUAGCUAGGAAACUUGCCCCCGGGCUAAACCCUUGCCAUAUUAGAAUCCACCAAUUAUAUCCCUGUAACCAUGCAUCUGCUUCUGUAUGCUUGCUUCUGCUCCCCAAAAUCCUAUAAAAGCCCAUCCUUGGUUCUGUGGGGCGCGCCAGUCCCCCGAGUGACUGAAGCGCCCGCAGGUGCCUGUGCCUGUGUAUCCCGACAAUAAACCAAAUCCUCUUGCUGAUUGCAUCCUGUGGUGUCUCGGUCUGGUCUUUGGAGUUGGAGGGUCUCCAUCCCGAGGGAAAGUUCUCCCUGAGAGCUUUUCAUUUGGUGCAUUGGCCGGGAAAGGAGAUCCUCCACCCAGGGACCACCGACCACCCACUGGGAGGUAAGCCGGCCGGCGUCUGUCUGUCUGUCUGAUUUUGUCUCGUUCUGCCUUAUUCUGUCUGUUCUGUGAGCGCUCAGCCAGGUCUGUUCUGUGAGCGCUCAGCCAGGUCUGUUCUGUGAGCGCUCAGCCAGGUUGUUUGGAAUUUGGGCGGGACGAAGAAGGAGCUGACGAGCUCGGACUUCUCGCCCCGCAGCCCUGGAAGACGUUCCAAGGGUAUUGGGGCCCGACUUUUCGGGGCCCAAUCUGGGAGAGGAGAAAGAUCCGGACUAACGGCACCUCUGUCUGUAUUUUUGGCUUUCAGAGGGCCCCGGACCUUUGCCACCUCCAUCUGACUUUUUGCUUUCAGUUUGGUACCAAAGCCGUACAGCACGCCUGUCUGUUGUUUGUUUGACUGUUGGUGUUGUUUGUUUUCUCUGUGUUCUAAUCUUCCUUAGAACUAACAUGGGACAGUCCCUAACAACGCCCCUAAGUCUCACUCUUGAUCAUUAGAAAGACGUCCACGACCGGGCACACAACCAGUCCGUCGAGGUUAAAAAAAAAAAAAAAGAAAAUGACAGACUCUCUGCACAUCCGAGUGGCCCACUUUCGGAGCGGGAUGGCCAGUGAAUGACACAUUUAAUAAGAUCAUUAUUUUACAGGUUAAAGAUCGGGUCGUCCACGGACAUCCUGACCAGGUUUCUUAUAUUAUCACUUGAGAGAGUCUCGCCUUAACCACCCCCCCCCGGGCGGAACCCUUCGUGGACCCGAAUUGGCCUCCCCUCAACCCCCAGCCUGUCCCCUCGGCCCCGCCCGGUCCGCCGGCCACGUCUUCCUCUCUCUACCUUUGUGAAAUCAGAGCCUUCUAAGAAACCUGUCCUCCCGGCAGACCCAAACUCCCCUCUCAUAGAUCUUCUCUCUGACAGGCCCGGCUAAAACGGAGGAGGCAGAGCCACCGGCCAGAUCAGUUGCCGGGCCACAGUCUGAUAAGGGUUUCUCCCCUGUCGCAGGGAGAUUGCACAAUAAGCGCGAGGUGAUGCCAGAUUCAACCUCCCAGGCUUUCCCACUUAGACAGGGAACUGGUGGCCAGACCCAAUACUGGCCGUUUUCAGCAGCUGACAUUUACAAUUGGAAACAACACAACCCUUCUUUCUCCAAAGAUCCGGUGGCACUCACCGACCUAAUAGAAUCUGUUUUACUUACCCACCAGCCUACUUGGGAUGACUGCCAACAGCUCUUACAGGCCCUCUUAACCUCAGAAAAAAAAAAACAAAGAGUGUUCCUAGAGGCCAGAAAGCAUGUUCUGGGAGAUGAUGGGCGUCCCACCCAGCUGCCUGAGGACCAAACUGGGAUUUUAAUACAGCUGAAGACUGCCCGUACCCUCUGCUGGGCCGUGAUCUGCUCACCAAACUAAAAGCACAAAUUCAUUUUGAGGAAGGAGGGGCCCAAAUAACUGGCCCCCACGGAACUCCCCUUCAAGUUCUAACCCUACAACUAGAGGAUGAAUAUAGACUAUAUGAACCGGGACAGGACAAGCCACAAUCCCUAGAAAUAGACACUUGGGUCACGAAUUUUCCACUGGCUUGGGCAGAGACUGGUGGGAUGGGGUUGGCGCUCCAACAGCCCCCCUUAAUUAUACAGUUAAAGGCCACUACAACUCCAGUCUCCAUAAAACAAUACCCCCUGUCACAUGAAGCUUAUCAAGGUAUAAGGCCUCACAUUAAGAGGCUUCUAGAUCAAGGCAUCCUAAUCCCCUGCCGGUCGCCUUAGAAUACGCCUCUUCUGCCUGUAAGAAACCUGGCACUGGAGAUUAUAGGCCAGUACAAGACUUGAGAAAGGUCAACAAGAGGAUAGAAGAUAUUCAUCUGACUGUUCCAAACCCUUACAAUUUGCUCCUGACUUUAGGGUUCAACAUCCCACCCUCAUACUCCUGCAAACCUUUUGAACUGUUCAUCGAUGAGAAACAGGGGUAUGCUAAAGGGGUCCUAACACAAAGGUUGGGACCCUGGAAACGCCCUGUGGCCUACCUGUCUAAGAAAUUGGACCCUGUGGCCUCCGGCUGGCCACCGUGCCUAAGGAUGGUGGCUGCUAUUGCUGUCCUGAUCAAGGACACUGGAAAAUUGACUUUGGGACAGCCACUCACCAUCCUAACACCCCACGCAGUGGAGGCCUUGGUAAAGCAGCCCCCAGACCGCUGGCUCUCUAAUUCUCGCACCAAGCCUUGUUACUGGAUGCAGAACGGGUUCAGUUUGGGCCCGUAGUCGCCCUCAAUCCUGCCACCUUGCUUCCUCUACCAGAGGAGGCAAAACAGCAUGACUGCCUACAAAUCCUCGCAGAAGUACAUGGAACCAGGCCGGACCUAUCGGACCAGCCUCUUCAGAAUGCUGACCACACAUGGUACACGGAUGACAACAGCUUCUUGGCAGAGGGAGAGCGAAAGGCUGGAGCUGCGGUCACUACGGAGGACAAAGUGAUUUGGGCGAAAGCCCUGCCUGCUGGUACCUCCGCACAACGGGCUGAACUCAUCGCCUUGACUCAGGCGUUCAAGAUGACAAAAGGUAAGAGGCUAAAUAUAUAUACAGACAGCCGUUAUGCCUUUGCCACGGCACACAUCCACGGGGAGAUCUACCGGAGGCGGGAGCUGCUCACAUCUAAGGGUAAAGAUAUUAAAGAUAUGGCUAAAAUUCUGGCCCUCUUAGAAGCCCUAUUCUUGCCCAAAAGACUGAGUAUUAUACAUUGUCCAGGACACCAAAAAGGGCACAACCCAGAGGCAUGAAGAAACCGGCUGGCCGAUGCCACGGCACGAGAAGCGGCCAUGAACAAACAAAUCUUGCCCUUAAAUAGCCCAGACCAACCCACGCCCCCACCAGUGGGACAAACCAGUUGGGUUUAUGCCCAUGAGGACAUAGAGCUCCUAAAAAAAAUGGGGGCCAUCUACCACCCUCAACUAAAACAGUGGGUCUACAAAGAAAAGACAGUUAUGCCAAUAAAAAUGAUUUUUGAAUUGAUCUCCUUUUUACAUAAAUUAACCCAUUUGGGGUUUAAGAAGAUAAAAACCUUACUAGAUCGGGAAGAGAUAAAUCUGUGUUUUUUUUUUGAAUCGGGACAAAGCGAUACAAAAGGUGACUGAGAGUUACAAAGCGUGCGCUCAGGUUAACCCGGAAAGGACCAUGAUUAGACAAGGAGUUCGUCCUAGGGGACACCGUCCCGACAUCCAUUGGGAAAUUGAUUUUACUGAAAUUAAACCAGGUAUAUAUGGAUACAAGUAUCUCCUAGUGUUUAUAGACACCUUCUCAGGAUGGGUCGAAGCCUUCCCCACAAAGCACGAGACUACAAAAAUGGUCACCAAAAAGCUCCUCGAGAAAAUCUUUCCCAGGUAUGACAUGCCUCAAGCGUUGGGGUUGGACAACGGGCCCGCUUUCGUCUCCCAAGUAAGUCAGUUGGUGGCCAAAUUGCUGGGGAUUGAUUAAAAAUUACAUUGUGCCUAUGGACCCCAGAGUUCAGGUCAGGUAGAAAGCAUAAAUAGAACAAUUAAGGAGACUUUAUCCAAACUUACGCUUGCAACUGGCUCAAAGGAUUGGGUGGCCCUCCUUCCCCUAGUUCUAUAUCGGGCCCGGAAUACCCCGGGCCCCCAUGGUCUAACUUCUUUUGAAAUAAUAUAUAGAGCACCACCCCCAUUUGUCCAUUUCUUUGAUUCAAACAUUGCUGAUUUUGCUGACAGCCCUUCUCUGAGGGCCCAUUUACAGGCCCUACAGAUUGUACAGAGAGACGUCUGGAGACCUUUGGCCGCUGCUUACCAGGACAAGCUUGAACAUCCGGUGGUGCCACACCCGUUCCAGAUUAGAGACACCGUGUGGGUGCACAGACACCAGACCAAGAAUCUCGAGCCACGGUGGAAAGGACCCUACACCGUCCUCCUGACUACCCCGACCGCCCUAAAGGUAGACGGAGUCUCGGCUUAGAUCCACACACCACACGUCAAGGCAGUCCGGUCUGAGGAAUUGACUAAUCACAACACUACACCCCAGACAUGGAGAGUUCAGCGCACUCCAAACCCCUUAAAGUUAAAACUCCUACGUGGCUCCUCCUAGUCCUUUUGUGGCCUAGAGUCAGUGGGGGAAUAAGCCCCCACUAGACAGAAAUUUCUUGACCAAGUCGAGUGAAAGAUUUCACUCAAAGUUAGCAAAAAAAAAAAAAUGGGGGAAUGAAAGACCCCAGCUUAGCAGCAGUAACGCCAUUUUACAAGGCUGUACUUAAGAUGACUGGUUCAGAGAAAGGUUAAAACACUGAGUACAAAACAGCUGCCAAGCAGGAUGUGUUUGGUUGAAGGCCUGGCAACAGGACGACUGCAGUUGAGCACCUGACAAUGAGAAAAGCCCCGGGAGAGGUCCCACACCCUGGUGGGGGGCCGAGUCAGCCUUAUGUUCCAGAAAGGUAGCUAGGAAACUUGCCCCCAGGCUGAACCCUUGGGGGGGCCGAGUCAGUCGUUAUGUUUCAGGAAGGUAGCUAGGAAACUUGCCCCCGGGCUAAACCCUUGCCAUAUUAGAAUCCACCAAUUAUAUCCCUGUAACCAUGCAUCUGCUUCUGUAUGCUUGCUUCUGCUCCCCAAAAUCCUAUAAAAGCCCAUCCUUGGUUCUGUGGGGCGCGCCAGUCCCCCGAGUGACUGAAGCGCCCGCAGGUGCCUGUGCCUGUGUAUCCCGACAAUAAACCAAAUCCUCUUGCUGAUUGCA